rnacentral:rRNA from 1 species
AGCGAACGCUGGCGGCAGGCCUAACACAUGCAAGUCGAACGCACCUUCGGGUGAGUGGCGGACGGGUGAGUAACACGUGGGAACGUACCUUUAGGUUCGGAAUAACGCAGGGAAACUUGCGCUAAUACCGAAUGUGCCCUUGGGGAAAGAUUUAUCGCCUUUAGAGCGGCCCGCGUUAGAUUAGCUAGUUGGUGAGGUAAUGGCCCACCAAGGCUACGAUCUAUAGCUGGUCUGGAGAGGAUGAUCAGCCACACUGGGGACUGAGACACGGCCCAGACUCCUACGGGGAGGCAGCAGGUGGGGAAUCUUGCGGCAAUGGGCGAAAGCCUGACGCAGCCAU